rnacentral:rRNA from 1 species
AUGCAGCGCCUGCUCCUUGACAUCUCCCCGCUGCGGCCUUCAGGCUUUGAAGCCUCCCCAACCCCACCUCUCCAGUGCAAUGGCAACCUACAGCGAACCCCUACGCCACCCCGUGCUCGCCCCCAUGAUGCUGGGCACGACCUGCCGGCGGGCCUGGCUGAGCUCAUUGUGCCCUGCCUCGAGCUUCCGGCAACACUCUUCUAUCCAAGGCAGUCGGCGCUCCUGCCAUCUGCAACCACGCAACCUCCCCCUGAGGCGCCCUUGGCAUCUCCAAGGCCAAGCCCUCCAGCGGCCCGUCGAAAGACUUUGGCGGGCAUGAGAAUCUCCAAGGAGGGUGGCAUCUCUCUGCAACGGAUCCGGCGACCUUCCAGCCGCACGCCGGCUGCUCCGGCGGCAAAGGUGGCCGAGCGCCUGGUUUGCCGCAGCCUGGCCAUAACCAAAGAUGGUCAAAGAUGUAACUGCUUCGAUCCUGGAGGCGUUCAUGGAGAAAUUCAAGGAGUAGCUCCCUCCUGA